AUUCACAGUGAUAUAAGCAGUUAUAAACAUGAGAUGAAAUAACAUUGGACCAUUGUAAAUUGAGGUGGAGUAACAGUUUCAUCUCUUCUGCACAGUCUAGACAUUG
rnacentral:snoRNA from 1 species